rnacentral:rRNA from 1 species
UAGUGGCGAACGGGUGAGUAACACGUGGGCAAUCUGCCCUUCACUCUGGGACAAGCCCUGGAAACGGGGUCUAAUACCGGAUAUCACUCCUGCAGGCAUCUGCGGGAGUUGAAAGCUCCGGCGGUGAAGGAUGAGCCCGCGGCCUAUCAGCUUGUUGGUGAGGUAAUGGCUCACCAAGGCGACGACGGGUAGCCGGCCUGAGAGGGCGACCGGCCACACUGGGACUGAGACACGGCCCAGACUCCUACGGGAGGCAGCAGUGGGGAAUAUUGCACAAUGGGCGAAAGCCUGAUGCAGCGACGCCGCGUGAGGGAUGACGGCCUUCGGGUUGUAAACCUCUUUCAGCAGGGAAGAAGCGAAAGUGACGGUACCUGCAGAAGAAGCGCCGGCUAACUACGUGCCAGCAGCCGCGGUAAUACGUAGGGCGCAAGCGUUGUCCGGAAUUAUUGGGCGUAAAGAGCUCGUAGGCGGCUUGUCACGUCGGGUGUGAAAGCCCGGGGCUUAACCCCGGGUCUGCAUUCGAUACGGGCUAGCUAGAGUGUGGUAGGGGAGACCGGAAUUCCU